UUAUGUACAUGCCUAUAGUGUUAAUGCAUUGGAUCCCAAUAGAACUUUGCAGUUAAGCAUGCUUGUUUUAGAGUAGUACUAGGAUGGGUGACCUAUCAAGAAGUCUUAGUGUUUUACAUGAC
rnacentral:rRNA from 1 species